rnacentral:lncRNA from 1 species
AAGACACAUGCAAGCACUACAAAAUCCAUCCUUCCUUGAACAAACCCUGCAAUCACAUUCAUCCACAGGUAACAGAACCCUACAAGAAAGAUUUUUGCAUCUCAUGUUCAUGUAAAUCUCAGCUAAAUGGGAAGACGAGAUGCUGUUGUCCAUCAGAAGGAAAUCAGAACGCCCAGCUUUCAGUGCGACCAAGAUCUCCAACUGAGCGCGAUGAGAUUUUGUAAGCAAUUCCAGCGUUAUAUCAGUCCUGUUCCGCAGAGCAUCUUGAAAAGCACCAAGUUGUACAUUCGUAUCCAUGUUCAGCAUCAUCUGCCGGAUGUUUUCCUUCAGGCUAGUUAUGUAUCGAGUGGGCAUUUCAUGAAAUCUCUUGGUCAUUACAGGCAUCGAAUCGGAGAGAAUGUAUCUGAUGACCGUCUCAACAAAAUCAUGCCCACCAGCUUCCAGCCCAGUUAUCCAGGAAUUACUACCACUAAAAAAGUCCUUGGCUUUUUUCUU